UGGAUUUUUUUUUUUUUAAAGUAUUAAUAAGUGAGAGUUUGGGUACGACGAAGGGUAAAUUUGUAAUUAUGCCUGCUUAAAAGCCCUGGCUUCCUUUGCUUCCUCAAUCUGCUUCUUCUUCCUGAACCAAAAUUGUCCAUUUUUAGCUCUAAUUUUUCCCUAAUCACGGUGAGUUCUCUUCUAUUUGUGCCGUGGUAAUUGUUUUUUGGUUUGGUGCUUCUCUGUUGUUGCUUCAACCAUUCUACUUUUUUGAUGAGGCUUUUGAUGCUAUCUUUUUCUCUCCAUGUUCUUUUGGUAGAAUUUGUACAUGCAUGUGCCAUCAGCUUAUAAUAUGUUUGUUAUCUUUGAUUUUCUUAUAUUUCACUUUAAGUUCUUUUAUGAGAUAGGGAUUGUUACUGGAUCCACAAAGUGUUCGACAAAAUUUCUAGAAAACCCUAAUCUACUGUUCCUGAUCAGAUUACGUGAUUUAGUUAAGGCCAAUUUGAAGGUAUUCACUCAAAUCAACCAAGGAAAUAAUGACAAGGCACAUAGUGGACAAAUACAAAUAUGAUUGUCUAUCAGAUCGAUUAGGUCAGUGAGGACUUCUACCUUUUGGACUUCCAAGGGACAGGACCAACACACUAUAAAAUUCGGAUUGCUUAUUUUAUUUGCUUUUAUUAGUGUAUUGUUGAUUACACCCUUGUUCUUUCUUUAUCGUUGGUUAUUUAACUCUGCAGAUGUUGGAGUUAAGCACGUCAAUCUGGCAAUCAAAUUUUAUUCUUAGUGUAUGCCGAAUUGAAUUAUGUCGCUAAGGUGUUUAGUCAAUAAUUCUUUAGAGGAGGUAUGUAGCCUCUUCUUUGAGUGCAUAAAGUUGCAUUUGUUAGAUGAGAAGUAAAAAGGAAUACCGAAAAUUUGAGUGGCUGAAGCUAAAGCAACUACUUUCGAAGUUAGUGAUUUGAUCUUUUUGAUAACUCCUUUUUUGGAGAACUCCAAGCUAUUAAGGAGACGAAAAGCUAUGUAAAGUAAAAGAGGGUCGAGGAGAGGUCCUUGAAGAUCACUUGCCCAGCUCUGGAAGGACAUGAGUGGACUGGAUUUGUCCAAAAAAUACAGGGCGGAGUUAACUUAUUUUUUUGAGAAGGUAAAACAAAAAUGUCUCGGUAUUCGAUCAAACAGAGAUAUUAGUGAUGCAAAAGCUCAUUGAUCAGUGAAGUAUUUAACCAUCAAUUAUGUUAAAUGGAAAAAAAAAAAAUUACCUUCAGAUGUUAUUGAUUAUAGUUUGUGCAUCUAAACUACCUAUCAACAAAAAAUGAAUUGUCUAAACUACAUUUCUAAUUAGAUUUUUUAAGGCAACAUACUUGAUCAUUCUUCACCAAAUUUAUAAGUAAUUUUCCGAUUAUAGUGACAUAUAAUUAUUCUUAAGGCGAUAUUCUAUUGGAGAUUCUGACGAGAAGAAGACCAGUGAGGUGCAAAAGAGAAAGUUAUUGCUUGCUUGAUCAUCAAAAACUAAUGUUGACAGCUACUGUGACUUUAAAUUAUCGAAAAUGUUAAUCUAAUUGUAAGUUUUUAGUUUGCUUGUUCUGUAAUGACAUAUCUUCUUGGUUUUAACUUUAUUUGUAAUCAUGUAGCUGUGUUUUUUGGAAUAUGAAGCCAACAUUAGGGGUAAUAAAGGCAAAAAGGUAGAGAGUAAUGCAUGUUUCAUGUUGUAUCAUAUGAGAUUAUACCUCCAGCUAAAGCAAGUAACUUUUUGUCUUUCCAUGUGAACGUAACAGGCAUUUGGCAUGUCAUUUGAGAUUUGUUCAUUUUUAGCAUAUAGCCCCUAUGUUCAUGAGUUUGUGAUGUACCUAUAUUCAAUCCUAAUUAUUACUAGCUAACUAUGUGGACUUUCUAGAGGAUGUACGUGUCUAUUAUUUGCAGACCCAUUUCAAUUUAAUUUUAGGUGCUUGUGCUUUGGUAAAAUUUUAAUUUCUCUCUGUUUGCAUGUCGUUCUUCUCUCUACUUUCUGGUUAGUUCUAUUUUUCUGUUCCAUUUCUGCUUCUUUUUUGUUUCCACUAUUCUGAAGUUGUUUCCAUAUAUUCACAAAUUUCAUCAAUUUCCUCUCUUUUUUCCAUUUGAGUUACUCUCUCCUCUUUGGCCCUUUCAUCUUCACUUCAAUUUCUACUUUUGUGGUUUGCUUUCAUCAAUUUCAGAUGGUCAUGCUUCUAUUGACGUCCUGCUGCUGUUAAUUCUUUUAUAGGGAGUUGGAAGGUUUCACACAUUUCUUAAGAUUAAAGGAAUUCUGGGUUGUUUAUGGGCGGACGGUGAAUAAAUUUUGAAGUGAAGUUUGGUUAAGCAUUGAAGCCAUGGAAGCUGAGAAGAUCUAUUACAGAUGUUUCUGCCACUGAACUUGCUUAUUCACUGGAAAGAACUGUAUUAUGAGUUGGAGCUGGAAGGGUAUGAGAUGGGGAGAAAUUCAUAAACAAGAUGUAUAUUCCAAGCAACAGAGUUCAACUAGGUAACUUGGCCAAGAUGAAUCUAUUUGAGGAAGGAGAGAAACAGAAUAUGCUUUUCUGGAGUUUGUUUUGUAAUAUGACGUCAUAUUCAGAUAUCACCUCAGGAAACCCCCUAUAAUGUGGUUAGUGUCCAACCUAUUGGACGAACUUUGCGCACUUUUCAUUUAGGAACUUAGUAUUAGUGGAUUUUAAGUGUCAAGUAUUUAAGUAGACUUAACUGAAAAGGCUUUUGUAUGUAUUUAUUUUCCCUGUGUGCUAACAUCAUUUAGUACAUGCUUUUAUACCUUUUCAGCUACUCGAUAUAUAUCUAUCUAUACAUGUUUUACCUAGAGGAUAGGACACAAGAAUCGGGUAUUGUGGAAAUUAUUUAUCACUCUAUCUUCUUAUAAAAGGCAGAAAUGAAAAGAGAGUUAUGGCAGAGUAUAUUUGGGAUAAAGAACCUACCUCUGUACCCUUUGGUUUUCUUUAAUUAUAUUUGGUGCAAUAGUCUUCGGUGUUGUGUUCAACCACCUGGGAGACAUUUUAGAAUUAAUACAGCUUUACAUAAAGGAAAAAUUAUUUUGUUAUCUGUCCUUUACUUGGCAGGAGGUCAAAGAUCAUAAAAUCCAUUUUAUUCCUUUGUUUUGCUGGAAUGCCAUCUUUAGCUCUUAGAUGACUAACCUUGGCAUUUUGGCUGUCAUGCUAUUAGAAAAUAUGCUAAUGCCGUAAAGUGUGCUAACAUAAUUCAUAACACUGCCCAGUGUCUCAUACCGUGUCAGUAACUGUUUGAAUCUACUCCCAACAACAGUUGAAGUGCUUUCACAGAAACUAUAUCCUUAACUUCGUCAAAUCUUCUAAGUUGUCAAGUUGUAUUUACACAGUUGACAGAUCUUUGAGAACGCCUCCAUGCUAGGACUUUAAAUUCGCGUAUGUUUACUGGAUUCUCUAAUUUGGUUGAUCUUGUGUUUAAAAUAUAUAUUUUUCCCGAGAGCAUACUUGUCUUUUGAUUUUUUAGACAUUGAAGGAUGCCAGAGUCCAUAAGGUAGGUAUAAUUUGGAUGUGUUGGAAGUGAAGUGAACGCUAGGUUUUAUUUGACUGCUACAUGUUUUAAUUUUUUUUCCAGCCUAAUCUAUGUUAUCAGUUGGAAUCUUCAACUUUGUCUUCCAUAUUUCCCCAGACAAUAAUGUUUCAUACCUGUGGUCUCCUGAUUUGUUUAGAAACCUUGUAAUUUAUAUUUUGCAGGUUAACCCCUUGCAGGAAAAAGUUCAAUCUUUUUCAUCCUCGAUGGUUUCCUCCGUCACAUGUAUUUGAAGCAGAAAAUUCAUUUAGAUGGAUGAAAAUGGCUUUGCGUUACCAUUAGAAGAUAUUAUUAGUUUGAUAAUUCUCCUGUUUGUGUAAUUGUAACUAAAGUGAUAGAAUACAAGUACUUUUUGGCUAUAUUGUUGUAGUUCAGUUAUAGAGUUACCUUAACUAAUUUACUCAUCUGUGUUGAACCUUU